GUGAAGAAAGUGAACAAGGCAGAUGGAGAUAAAUUCAAAAACAGAGAUCCGAAAGGCUGCUAAGAGAGAAAGGAACAGGAAUCUCCCAGUUCCUGAGAGCCUCCCAGGCUUUCUCCCUCGAUGUUUGGAGUUUUAUGCCUAUGUAAUCAGUGCAGACAGCCGUUAAGUAAAUGAAGAGGCAACUAACAAUGUCAGAAAAGAGACCGGGCGGUUCCGGCUGACACUACCCUAAUCUUCCAGGACCCAUUAAAUGGUAGUUUCAACGCAUUACCUACCAUAACAUCCUUGAAUAUCACUGAUUUUAUUUGCAGUAUCAAACAUUCCAUUUCAUGCCCCAUUAACAGUGGGAGCCUGGGCUUUUUGACGCAGCUAAACAUUUUACUAACUACCUGGACUAAGUAACCAAUUAACUUUUGGAGACAAUACGGCCAAUUAAGCGCGAAAAGAAAAUUUGGAAAACAGGCUUUUCCUAUCCGGAUGAACAGAGAUAAUUUGUGUCGAUGGAUGUUCUGUGAAGGCCUAUUGUGUCGAGCAGCGUAUUAAAACAUAAACAUGGCUCUUCCCCCAAGAAACUUACAUUUCAGUAAGGGAGCCUGGCCAAAAUGGAAAACUGCAAGGUUCAAAUCCUGGAGUGCAGAAGAAGCAUUAGGCAUUGACCCUGUGGCUUCCUAAUAGAUCCGCAAAGUGCUUUGUUCCUGGAAAUCAUCCGAUGAGUAGUUCAGUGCUAUUGUAUAUCUUGUUAGAGCAGCCGAAGUGCCACAAAAUGAACUAAAAUCUCCCUGCAGAGUUGCUGUAUCAUAUGCUGAGAACAUUCGGAACUUUCAACAAAUUCAUGUUACGAUCCUGGGUAGCCAUGGUUAAAUCUGUACAGGGGUUAAAUGAGAAAUAUGAGCCUGCUGUUAAGUGUCUUCUGAGAGUGACAAAGCUCUGGCCAUAAGGGAUGGGAGAGGAGGGAUUUCUUCUCAGCCUUCCAGCCCUUUCCAGCUGUAUCACAGACAGGAGACAUAAUGCAAAGGGGCUCAGACAUUGACUUCCUGGAUCUUUGCGGCCCCAGGCAUUGACCCCCUCUACCUGGCUUUUCCUACGCUGUAAAAUGAGGAUCCUCCUAUAUUAUGGAGUUUAUUGUGACAACUAAAUAGCUGAGAAGAAGGACAUCUCAUUUGUUUUAACUAUGCAGUUUCCUGUCUAUCUAUCUAUCUAUCCCAUCAAUCUAUCAAUCAAUCUAUCAAUCUGUCUAUCCCUAUCUAUCUAUCCAUCUAUCUAUCUAUAUCUGUCUAUAUCUAUCUAACAUUUAUCUAUCAUCUAUUCAUCUAUCAGCUAUCUUCUGUCUAUCAAUAUUUCAAUCAAUCUCUCUAUCCCUAUCAAUUAAUCUAUCUACCUACCUAUCAACUAUCCAUCUAUCUCUAUCAUCUAUCAUCUAUUCAUCUAUCAUUUAUCAUCUGUCAAUCCAUCUUCCUACUAUCUAUCAAAAGCAACACAUUUUCUUCCUGACUUUAAAAAUAUUUAAGUGGGCCGGGAGGAUGGCUCACGCCUGUAAUCCCAGCACUUUGGGAGGCCUAGGCGGGCGGAUCACGAGGUCAGGAGAUGGAGACCAUCCUGGCUAACAUGGUGAAACCCCGUCUCUACUAAAAAUACAAAAAAAAAAAAAAAUUAACCAGGCGUGGUGGAGGGCGCCUGUAGUCCCAGCUACUCGGGAGACUGAGGCAGGAGAAUGGGGAGAACCCGGGAGGCGGAGCUUGCAGUGAGCCGAGAUCAUGCCACUGCACUCCAGCCUGGGCGACAGAGCAAGACUCCAUCUCAAAAGAAACAAAAACAAAAACGUAAGUGAUACUCUGUCCACUCUUUUGAUUGAGGAGGUCUGAUUUUCAGGCUUUGGAUUUUAUUAUGUCUUCAAUAUAAUAAUUGUUCCAUGUAUCUCUCCUAAAUUGCCAUUUGAAAAACUGCUUUUCUGAAGUUUAAAGUGCACAUUUUGAUACAUCUUGACACAUAUAUACACCCAUGAAAUCAUCACCACAAUCAGGAUAGUAGAUCUAUCCAUUACCGCCAAGGUUUACUUGCACUCCUUUGAACUUUCUCCCCACUCCUCACCCCCUGCCUAUCCCCAAUCCUUAAGCAAUCACUGAUUUGCUUUCUGUCACUAUCAGUUAAUUUGAAUUUUUCAGAAAUGUAUAUAAAUAAAAUCAUUCGACGUGUAUGCUCUUUUUCUGUUCACCCGGUACAAUUUGAGAUUUAGCCAUGUUUUUGCAUGUGUCAAUAGUUUAUUUUUUUGUUGCUCAGUACUAAUCCAUUUUAUGGAUACAGAGAAAUGUAUUAAUGCAAUCCCAUAUUAAUAGGCAUUUGGGUUGUUUCCAGGUUUGGGCUGUUACAAAUAAAGCUGCUAUGAACAUUUUUGUGCAA
rnacentral:lncRNA from 1 species